ACCCGCCCUACCAGAGGGGGAUAGCCGGCCCAACGGCCGGGUAAUACCGCAUACGCUCUUUGGGCUACAUGGCCUGGGGAGGAAAACCCGAAAGGGUGCUGGAGGAGGGGCUCGCGGCCUAUCAGCUAGUUGGCGAGGUAACGGCUCACCAAGGCGACGACGGGUAGCUGGUCUGAGAGGAUGGCCAGCCACAUUGGGACUGAGAGACGGCCCAGACUCCUACGGGAGGCAGCAGUGGGGAAUAUUGCGCAAUGGCCGAGAGGCUGACGCAGCGACGCCGCGUGUGGGAUGAAGCUCUUCGGGGUGUAAACCACUGUUGCCCGGGACGAAACUCCUGCUUAGGCGGGAUUGACGGUACCGGGUGAGGAAGCACCGGCUAACUCCGUGCCAGCAGCCGCGGUAAUACGGAGGGUGCGAGCGUUGUCCGGAAUCACUGGGCGUAAAGGGCGCGUAGGUGGCUCGUGAAGCGUGCGGUGAAAGUCCGAGGCUCAACCUCGGAUCGGCCGUGCGGACUCGCGGGCUCGAGCGUUGUAGAGGCGGGUGGAAUUCCGGGUGUAGCGGUGGAAUGCGUAGAGAUCCGGAAGAACACCGGUGGCGAAGGCGGCCCGCUGGGCAACUGCUGACACUGAGGCGCGACAGCGUGGGGAGCAAACAGGAUUAGAUACCCUGGUAGUCCACGCCGUAAACGAUGGGCACUAGGUGCUUCGGGGAGCGACCCUCGGAGUGCCGGCGCUAACGCAUUAAGUGCCCCGCCUGGGGAGUACGGCCGCAAGGCUGAAACUCAAAGGAAUUGAC
rnacentral:rRNA from 1 species